GCACUGCUGACGAGUCCCACAAUAGGACGAAACGGCUUUCCAGUUC
rnacentral:hammerhead_ribozyme from 1 species